GACGAACGCUGGCGGCGUGCUUAACACAUGCAAGUCGAACGGAAAGGCCCUGCUUUUGUGGGGUGCUCGAGUGGCGAACUGGUGAGUAACACGUGAGUAACCUGCCCUUGACUUUGGGAUAACUUCAUGAAACUGGGGCUAAUAGCGGAUAGGAGCUCCUGCUGCAUGGUGGGGGUUGGAAGGUUUCGGCGGUUGGUGAUGGACACGCGGCCUAUCGGCUUGUUGGUGGGGUAGUGGCUUACCAAGGCUUUGACGGGUGGCCGGCCUGAGAGGGUGAGCGGCCACAUUGGACCUGAGAUACGGCCCAGACUCCUCCGGGAGGCAGCGGUGGGGAAUAUUGCACAAUGGGCGGAAGCCUGAUGCAGUACCGCCGCGUGCGGGAUGACGGCAUUCGGGUUGUAAACCGCUUUCGCCUGUGACGAAGCGUGAGUGACGGUAAUGGGUAAAGAAGCACCGGCUAACUACGUG
rnacentral:rRNA from 1 species